GAACUUUUCAUCCUGAAUUCCUGCGCAGUCUCUGUCGCCUCCUGGACCCGGGCCAAAACGCAGAGCGGGUUUGUGCUGGUUGUGAGAGAGCUGCAGUUGUACUUUGUUAGUACACUUCCUCACCUGUGCUUCCUGAUGUGAAGAUAUACAGAGCUGUGUUUCUUCUGUUAGUGACAACUUUAAGAUGUUCUCUUGAAGCUUCACACCUGUAGUGUUUCACUGGUGACUGCGUGGCUAGACAUCCAGCUGAAGACUCCUUUCUGUCUCCGGGAUGUCCCAGGACUUGAUCUACCCAUGGCCAAGGACCGGAACAUUGCAAUAACUGAGGAAAAUGAAGCACCUAUGGAACUCACCCCUGUGGAAAAGCACAUACUGAAAAUCUCUGGAUUCAGGAUUGGAGCCUGGAGCCUGCAGUUAGAAGACAGACAGUGCCAAAGGGGACAAGGCUUGUGGCAGAAGGGAGGUUUGUUCCCUGUGCAACUUAAGAAGGUGCAGAGGUACUUGCUGGAGGAAAAGGGAGCCUUGGGGACUGGAUUGCUUGAUAAAAGGUGUAGGACAGUGAGAGUGGAAAGAAAAUUAGGGUUUCCUCAGGCAGCUGGCUGUUGGAAGAGGGUUCCCAAGGCAGAAGCAUCUUUUUGUGUAGGAGGCUGGAGGGUAUCAAAUCCCAGAAAACAAAAGAAUGGGGGAUGGGAGGCUAGAAACUAAGAGCACGGAGAUGGAGGAGUACAGACAAUGUGGCUGGAGUUUUGUUAGCUUUUAUUUUAAACAAACUUUCAAACUGAUUUUGUCUCCAGCCACGGGCCGGGAUGCUGCAGUUGCAUUACCGUGGGUUGACUUUAACUAGAGCCCAAAUAUUUUAGUUAAAUUAACCAUGUCCUCCUGACUACUGACUGCUGCUUAAACUUUCAUUAUCAUGUGGGGUUUUCGUUUGUUUUGUUUUAAAUUGGUGGGGAUUCUAAGGUACAUAUGGUCAAAUUCUACCCCAGUUACGCCUCAAUAAAUCGGGAGUAAAGUUGAUGAUUCAAAUUGAGUUUGUGAGGUCUUGGCAAACAAAAAUGAAGCCAUAAUGAGCUAUUUUAAACAAUAUAAACUGGAAACAGCGAAUGAACUACAUUGGACUAUGAGCUCACAGGAGACUUUUAACAUCUUAGGACUUCUGCCACAGCUUCCCCUUUUUUCUUGCAUACCUUCUCGAUACAUUUCAAGAAAAUUCCCUUGUGCUUUCACUUGGUGCAGAGGGGUUUGCCAUGGUACUGGGCCUCCUGGCCACAUGGGGAACUGCUGCCCUUGGAGGGUAAGUGUCCUUUUCUGGGUAUGGCCACUGCUGGAGAUAUGCUACUCCUCUUUGCCAGCUGUGCUUAUCCUAUGCUUUCAACCCCUCAGCUAAUGGCACUGCCACAAACUCUGCUUCAUAUUCCACCUGCUGUUUUCCUAAUUUCCCAGCCUUUUGAGAAACUCUCUCCUAAUUUUUGCAUUCCUCUUUUCUUUAGACCUCAGCAAUCCUCUCCUUUUCAUACAGCUCUUUGUGAUUUAAGAAAAAUAUCAAUGCCACUUUGCUCUUAGCAGCAGGAAUAAAAACAGAUGGAAAGAUCAUGUGCCUAUUGAUAUUUCCAACACUGUACCUGUAUGGUGGAGUGGCUGUUUUGCUUCUUUUCCUGCUCUUUGGAUCAGUAGCUGGUUUUCUUUCUGUAAAGCAGCUUGAAAGCUUUGCUAUGAAAGAAUGGAAUCCUAUCAACUGACAUGUCAGAAAAGCAUCAUGACUUUGAAGUAGAUUUUUUGAUUAGGUAGUGAUUUUCCAUACAGAACAAAUCCCUAAUAAUAGUAAGUGGCUGCCCUCUUCAUCCUCUCUGGCUUAAAUUCAUCAUUUUCUGUUUUUUCUGUAAGUCAAUAGAGGCCUUGUUCCUUUCCUGGGAGAUGCGACACCUGCUCCAAAAUAGUUGCUCCUAUGCAUACUGUUACAACAGACUCUAUGUGUAAGUAUCUAUGCCUGUAUCUACUCCUAUGUCUAUGCCCAUGCCUACACCUAUGCCGACACCUGUACUGAUAGCUAUAUCUAUAUAAUUUGUAUCAUUUAUAUAUCUCAGAGAAUUUGGGAUUGAUUUGAUGACCAA